ACACUUUCUUCCUUCUAGUCACCAAGGCUAAUACUCUCAUUCUCAAUUCACUACUAAGAAAAAAAAAUGGGAGGAAACAAUCAAAGGAAGUCAAAGUCAUCAUUCAAGUCUGUUUUCAACAUUUUCAAAUCUAGCAACAAACAAAGAAGUGCCUAUUAUGAUGAUGAUUGUGCUAAGCAAUGGAACAAAGUUUGGCCUAGUGAUGAAGACAGAGGUAGUUGGGGUGUUGCUGAUCCUACCAUUGACAUGAGAGCUACUGCUUUCAUUGCUCAAUACAAGAAGCGAAUUACUGAAUCUGAAAUUCACUGGCAAGCUCAACCUGAUCAGUAGUAGGAGCUAGCUAGCUUCUAUGUUUCUCCAUUUUUAAUUUGUUUGUACCUCUCUGUUGUAAAUGUAAUUAGUUAUUGAUUAUCAUUUGUGAACCAUGAUAAUAAGUAUUGUUAAAUAUAAAUAACUCUUUUCUAUUUCCAAGUUUGUGUUUGGCUUUGUUGUUGGGGUGGAGCAUAUUGUUCAGUCUAUUCUCUAUUGCAUAUAGUCAUUCAAUGUAGAGAACAUAUUGCAGAGUUUUCAGAUAAAAUGUUUCUUUAGUAACUUAAUUAUUUUGGCCAAAGAACUUGAAUAAGGAGAAUCAAUGGGUUAAGGGGCUUAACCGUUUCAAUCACUAUGCAUAACAUUACAGCUGAGUUUGAUUUGCGAAAUACACAUAUUAUGGUUGCAGUCAAGUCUGAAGUCUUGUGAUCUAUACCCGCUUUCCUUAUGUGUGAGUCUCACACAUAUACUUAUCCUGUCAACCAACAGAAUUUGCCUUAUGACUACUAGGAAGACUUUCUAUGCAAAAAUUCUAAAAUUAAGAUCCACUCUCGCUUCCCAACCAAACCGAAUUAGGCUCCGAUGCUACUUGUUGGAGAAUUCAGACAACAACGAACCAAAUGUUUUAAGACCAAAAGAGACUUUACAUCUCCACUCAACCUAAAAAUAUUGGACAUACAUAUCACCUCUCUUAUACCUUCAACAUUUAAUUCAUCAAUAGUCAAUGCAAAACUAACCAUCCACACUCGAAUCCAAUACAUCUUUGUAAUGUGUAUUCUAGUCAUUAUGUUAGUCAUUAUGUUGUGAAUUAUUUUAUGUUUGCCUCAAAUAUUAAUUUUCAUGACUUGUUAUAAAAAUAUUAUUUUUUUGUUCUGCAAAUCUCAAAUCUCCAUUAAAAUUCUUAACUCUUUAAAAUUUAAACGAUUUAUACGAAGAUAUUGAAGCUUGCAAUGUGAUUUGUUUUUAAAUUUCAAAAAUGUGUUUUUGAACUUGAAAUUUAGCCAAGAGAUCAACUACAAUCUCAAACAAUAAUUCCUUUUUGUUUCAAACAAUUACAUCAAGGAAGUAAUUUUAUUCAUCAGUUGUGAAUUUUUUAACUAAUCUAAGAAAACGUUAAAUCAAACGGUGAAAAUUGUUUAAGAACUACAAACUAAAGUAAGCAUAAUUUAAAAUAAAGAUAAACUGCAAGUAAAAAUAAAAUUUGAUUUAUGUGUGUCUAAAACGAAAACUACAAUGAGUAUUUAUAAACUAAUAGCAAAGUUUAAAUCUUGUCGGUCAUAAUUGUGACCAACUAAAGAUUGUGUUUUAACUCUUAUAUUUGGUUAAACUCGGGUGGAUGUUUGAGAUUGUGGAUUGCAUAGUACUCCACUUUUUGUGACCGUUUGUUUCUCACAUGCGCUUUUGUCUCUUUCCUCAUCGUGGUUGCUAAGAAAUAGUGGUCUCAUACUUAUUUUUUUUCUCUCGCCUGGUUCAAUAAAAAAUAAUAGAAAAAACUAUUCAUACGGUUCUUGAUCUAUAUUUGACAUGGGAAAAAUAAAUAUGACUAGAUAUGAUUGAGCAAGACUCAACUCCAUCAUACUCGACUAGAUCUCAAUUCAUCAUUGUUGGACUCGACUACUCAUAAUUCACAUUACCUUAAACUCAUUCUUAUGUUAAAUUACUUGUUUACUAAAUAACUUAGUGUUCCGAGGAGUCCAUGAGUGCGCUAGGAACAAGAGGCUUUGAAAUUCACGUUUCAACACAAAGCCUUAACAUAUUAAGUAUAAAAGUUGUCCCUCUUAAUUAUCUAAUAUUUAAUUCAUUCAUAAUCGAUGUAAAACUAAACUACUCACGUUUAAACUCAAAAAAGUAGGUUGGGUGGGCUAAGGCGCUCCAUUGAUUUCAUGACUAUCUUUAUAUAACCUGUUUUGAAGCAAGGUUCUAGCUUUUGAAACUUUCUCAUUCUCAAAGUAACACCAAUGAUUUGAUUCUUCAAAUAAUUUCCUUUGAUAUAUCAAUAUAUGUUGACACGACACCUGGUUACAUCUCCUGCACUUGAGUGACUUAAAAUUCCUGAUGAAUUGUAAGGCAGCAACAUAUUAAUUAACAAUUACUACUAAUUAUUUAUAUACUAUUCCAACUGAAUGACAGUUCUUGGAAUCCUGCCGAGUACAGACAUCCAUGAAAUGGGCUUGUGGUUUCUUUAAGGUACAACACGUAUGUUUUGCAUGUUUUCUUGUUAACCUGUUUUUAUUGAGUUUCAAUACCAUAUUUCUUACUCUCUGUUUGUCUAAAUUACAUAAAUAUAUGGUUAGUUAAAAAACUCAAAAAGUAAAUAAAGGUAUUGUGAUAAAAAAAAUAUUCGUGGGUUCUAGAAUUUGAAUCGAACUCUACACAAUCCCCGUAAAAUCGGUUUGUAGACCGAGAACUACUCACCACUUAUAAACAUUCACAUAUAUCACUAGACAUUUAGACAUGAUCUGAAUGACUGAUAGUAGUAACUUAGGUGACCGAUUGCGGUGAACUGAUAGUAAAUGAACCAAUAAAUUUAUAUUUUUUAAUUCUAGUUGAAAUAAAAUAAAUUUAACUAUUCAAAUAAAUUCCAAUAAAUAGAAAUUUCAUCAAAUAAAAAUUAAAAAGAACAAAAUGGGACCAUGCAGUUGCUUUUUGCAAGAAGAAGCUCCCUAAGAAAAGGGGGAUUUGUACUAUAUAAAUUGAGACCCCCCAGCCUUCAAGUUAUAGCACAACACACUUCCUUUCUUUCAAUUACAUUCUAGUCACUAAGGCUAAUAUUCUCACUCUCUACUCAUCACUACUUGUGUUUUUCAAUAACCAAGAGAUAAGAAAUGGGAGGAAACAAUCAAAGGAAGUCAAAAUCAUCAUCAUUCAAGUCUAUUUUCAACAUUUUCAAAUCUAGCAACAAGCAAAGAGGUGCUUAUUAUGAUGAUGAUGAUGGGGCAAAGCCAUGGAACAAAGUGUGGCCUAGUGAUGAAGACAGAGGUAGUUGGGGUGUUGCUGAUCCUAUUAUUGACAUGAGAGCUACUGCUUUCAUUGCUCAAUACAAGAAACGAAUUACUGAAUCUGAAAUUCACUGGCAAGCUCAACCUGACCAGUAGUAGGAACUGCCUAGCUUCUAUGUUUGUCCAUUUUUAAUUUGUUUUUACCUCUCUGUUAAAAAUGUAAUUAGUUAUUGAUUAUCAUUUGUGAAUCAUGAUAAUAUGUAUUGUUAAAUAUAAAUAACUCUUUCAUGUUUCAUCUUCUCUAGUUCCAAGUUUGUGUUUCUCUUUGUUGUUGAGGUGGAACAUAUUGUCUAGUCUAGUGCAUAUAGUUCAAUGUAGAUAACAGUGCAAAGUACUCAGCUAAAAUGUUUCUUCAGUAAGUUACUAUUGUGAUAAAAAUAGAUUUUGAUCGAUUAAUGUAUCUAAAAUGAUAUAUACAAUAAAUACAUAUAAAUUGGAAGCUAAGCCUCAAUCCUUUCAAGUGAUCAACUAAAGAUUGCGUCUUAACUUUCGUUUUCAGCUAAACUUGCGUGAUUGUGUUUGAGAUCAUGGCUUGUCUAGUACUUCAUGUUUUG
rnacentral:lncRNA from 1 species